rnacentral:tRNA from 1 species
GCUUAAAUAGCUUAUAAUAGAGUUUAAUAUUGAAGAUAUUAAGGAGGAUAGUUUACCUUUAAGUA